ACAAGAUAGUGAUAUUAAGCAAAACCCAAAAAGCAGUCUCAGUUCGGAUUGAAGGCUGAAAUUCGCCUUCAUGAAGCCGGAAUUGCUAGUAAUGGCAGGUCAGCAUACUGCCGUGAAUACGUUCCCGGGCCUUGUACACACCGCCCGUCACACCAUGAGAGUUGGGGAUACCCGAAGCCUGUGAGCUAACAGUAAAGAGGCAGCAGUCGAAGGUAGAAUCAAUGAUUGGGGUGAAGUCGUAACAAGGUACC
rnacentral:rRNA from 1 species